GUGUUUCUAAGACCCUAAAGGAUGUUUUCCCACAACAUGCUAACACAUCAUAUGAAACAGAGAAAACACUGACAAAUGUUUAAGUAUAUUUUUUGUCUAGUGGAGAAUAUAAUCUAAGAAACCCACAAGAUUUUGUUUGUUUGUUUUUUUGAGAUGGAGUCUCGCUCUUCUGCCAGGCUAGAGGGCAGUGGCGCGAUCUCGGCUCACUGCAACCUCUGCCUCCUGGGUUCAAGUGAUUCUCCUGCCUCAGCCUCCUGAGUAGCGGGGACUACAGUUUAUAGCCUCAAGAGGCAUCUCACACACAUCCGGACCAGAG
rnacentral:lncRNA from 1 species